rnacentral:rRNA from 1 species
UACGGAGGGUGCAAGCGUUAAUCGGAAUUACUGGGCGUAAAGCGUGCGCAGGCGGUUUGUUAAGUCUGCUGUGAAAUCCCCGAGCUCAACUUGGGAAUUGCAGUGGAUACUGGCAAGCUGGAGUACGGUAGAGGAAGGUGGAAUUCCCGGUGUAGCAGUGAAAUGCGUAGAGAUGUGGAGGAAUACCGAUGGCGAAGGCAGCCCCCUGGGCCAACACUGACGCUCAUGCACGAAAGCGUGGGGAGCAAACAGG